UACGAAGGGGGCGAGCGUUGUUCGGAUUUACUGGGCGUAAAGGGCGCGCAGGCGGCUCAUUUUGUCAGGCGUGAAAGCCCCGGGCUUAACCUGGGAACUGCGUUUGAUACGGAUGGGCUAGAGUUCGGGAGAGGAGAGUGGAAUUCCCAGUGUAGAGGUGAAAUUCGUAGAUAUUGGGAAGAACACCUGUGGCGAAGGCGGCUCUCUGGACCGAGACUGACGCUGAGGCGCGAAAGCGUGGGGAGCAAACAGG
rnacentral:rRNA from 1 species